UCACCUUUUUCUUAUUUUCGCUCCUACCUUCCCUAGCUAGUCCAUUAAGGAAGUCUAAUUUUAACCAACUUCUAGCACAGUGCUCAAACGGAGACUGGGAUGAAGCAUGCAUAGACUCUUGGGACCUGACUGUGUUAUGGAGCACAAACGACGUGCCUCCAGCCCUGCUCCACAAACCAUUCCAUCAGCAGAAGUCUCCGGCAGGUCGGAGACGGACUAACUUUUCUAAGCGUCUGUGGCACUGACAUUUCAGCGACCUCGGCGGUGAUUUCUCACUUGCAGCUAACUGGAAUGUACACAACCAUGAUAUAAUGCCCACGCUGUGAAAAAAGAGAGGCAGAGUGAUGUCCUGAAGGUUCCCCUGCAGAGACACCAGCAAUAACAGCUCCAACAUGCUCAGAGAGCCCUGAUCUCACUAACGUUCAUCUUGGACCCAAUUCAAAGGUUACUGAAAUCAUAAGGAAACUUUGCAUCAGUUUCAGUAUUCUU